rnacentral:rRNA from 1 species
AGAGUUUGAUCCUGGCUCAGAAUAAAUGCUAUUGGUAUGCUUAACACAUGCAAGUUGAAUGUUUAUUAUAGAUAAACAUAGCAGACGGGUGCGUAACACGUGAAUAAUCUACCUUACAGUUCAGCAUAAUUAUUUUUAAUAAAAAUUCUGAAUAAAAACGGAGGAAAGUUUUAAAAACGCUGUAAGAUGAGUUUGCGGAAGAUUAGGUAGUUGGUAGUAUAAGAGACUACCAAGCCGACGAUCUUUAGCUGAUUUGAAAGAAUGAUCAGCCACAUUGGGACUGAGACACGGCCCAAACUUUUUUAAAGGCAGCAGUGAGGAAUAUUGGACAAUGGGCGGAAGCCUGAUCCAGCAAUACCAAGUGAGUGAAGAAGGCUAAUAGGUUGUAAAGCUCUUUUGUCCGGGAAGAUAAUGACUGUACCGGAAGAAUAAGCCCCGGCUAACUUCGUGCCAGCAGCCGCGGUAAU